rnacentral:tmRNA from 1 species
GGGGAUGAUCGGCCUAGACACAAAGCCGCUUCCUCUGGCAUGCAAGGUAGAGCUCCAAUAACUCUAGAAACUGUUGGAAAAACUAAAUGCAAACGCAUUUUCAAAAGCAAAGUCAGUAGUCUCUCCGUUUUUCGGAGCUAAAGAUUUCGCUUUCGUUUACGCUACGGCCUAAACGACAUUCUCCACAUCUGAUUCUCGAACUGUGUGAGAGAGUGUAAUAUCUUCGAGAUAGAUACUCCCCUUCUCUGAGGGAAAUUCGAAACUGAAAGAGAUCGGUGAUGAUGUGUUCUGUCGUUCAUAGAGCAUCAUUAUUUAAAGUACGUAUGUACAAUGAUCGACUACACCUUGUAGAUGUGCCUGAGGGCAUUUUGUGCACGCGGGUUCGAUUCCCGCCGUCUCCACCA